rnacentral:rRNA from 1 species
UACGGAGGGAGCAAACGUUGUUCGGAUUUACUGGGCGUAAAGGGCGCGUAGGCGGCCACCGCAAGUCGACUGUGAAAUCUCCGGGCUUAACCCGGAAAGGUCAGCCGAUACUGCGGGGCUAGAGUGCAGAAGGGGCAACUGGAAUUCUCGGUGUAGCGGUGAAAUGCGUAGAUAUCGAGAGGAACACCUGCGGCGAAGGCGGGUUGCUGGGCUGACACUGACGCUGAGGCGCGAAAGCUAGGGGAGCGAACGGG